CUACGGGUUGCUCCAGUGGGGAAUAUUGGACAAUGGGGGAAACCCUGAUCCAGCAAUGCCGCGUGUGUGAAGAAGGCCUGCGGGUUGUAAAGCACUUUCGGUUGGGAGGACUGCUUCUAGCACUAAUAUUGUUGGAAGUUGACGUUACCUUCAGAAGAAGCACCGGCUAACUCCGUGCCAGCAGCCGCGGUAAUACGGAGGGUGCAAGCGUUGAUCGGAAUUACUGGGCGUAAAGCGCGCGUAGGCGGCUAGAUCAGUCGGGUGUGAAAGCCCCGGGCUUAACCUGGGAACUGCAUCCGAUACUGUCUAGCUUGAGUACAGGAGAGGAGAGUGGAAUUCCACACGUAGCGGUGAAAUGCGUAGAUAUGUGGAGGAACACCAAUGGCGAAGGCAGCUCUCUGGCCUGAUACUGACGCUGAGGUGCGAAAGCGUGGGGAGCAAACAGGAUUAGAUACCCUCGUAGUC
rnacentral:rRNA from 1 species